rnacentral:lncRNA from 1 species
GGGCAUCCUAGACCUUCAUUGAGGUUUCCAAGGAGAUAUGUCCUCCUUUGUAAAAUGUGGUUAGUAAGGAUACUGAUUAUCUUGAAGUUGCUGUGAAGAUUAAGUGCCAUGAAGCAUUAUAGUAGAUGCUUAGUAAACACUGGGCUUCCCUGGUGGCUGAGAUGGUAAAAGAAUCCGCCUGCAAUGCAGGAUACCCCAGUUUGAUCCCCGGAUUGGGAAGAUCCAAUGGAGAAGUGAAUGGCAACCCACAAUACUCCAGUAUUCUUGACUGGAGAACUCCAUGGACAGAGAAGCCUGGCAGGCUAUAGUCCACGGGAUCACAGAGUAGAAUGUGACUGAGCGACUUAGCACACACAGAGUUAAAUGUUAGAGCCACGGAAAUAAAUGAAGAUGAUGAUGAUGCUGACAGCACCACUGUUACUAGCAGAUGUCGUGGUCAUAACGUUCCUUUUUUACAGCAGCUAGUGGUCAUUUCACGUGUGUCGUUUUCAUUUUGCUCAUUUCUUUCCAAAAGAGGCUUCCCCGUGGCUGCCCAGCACACUGGCUGCCCAAGAUUCAGAUCAAAGCUACUCUCAACCCCUGCUGUGAGGACUUGGAAGCACUCUGGCAGGAGGAGGCACUGGGCCUGCCCCAUCUCUCCCAUCCCCUGCUGGAGCUCUCUUCACCACAGCUCACUCGGGCAUCUGCUUUUGACCUCGGUGCCUUCCCUGCGCGGCGGUGCCUGGUGUCUGGAGGAACGCCAGCUCUUCCUGUCUGCCAAGCUGCCUCUCUUCCAUCACACAAAUGACCUGGGAAACCCCACCUCCCCUCCAGCAGGAGCUCAGUCUCCCUGGACUGAUCACAGGAAAGGUCUCAGGAGACUGGUUCAAGAGGAAGACGGCCUAGAGCUUCUAGAUGGAAAUGCAACGUCCCAGCACUUCUGGCAGUGAGAUUAGCAGCACACAGACCUGGAUAUCUGAAAGAGGCAAGAGUUCUCUUCCCUAAAGACUUUCCAGUCCAGGGACUUCCCUGUGAGUCCAAUGGUUAAGAAUGCACGUUUCCACUGCACAGGACAUGAUUUCAAUCUUUGGUCAGGGAACUAAGAUCCUACAUACUAAGUGGCAUGGCCAAAAAAUAAAGACUCUUCAGUCCAAAGAAGACCUGUGGUUAUGGUGGUGGAGAUGGACAGAAGACCUGUGGUGGGGCUGCUGAUACACAGUGGGGUCCAACCAAGGCAGCUCCUAGAGAGCAACCAACAUGAGGAGGGAGACAGAUUCCUGACUCACUCCCUGAGCUGGCUUGCAGGCUGUAGAGAUCUGUUACCUAAGGGAAUGGAUUCAUGAAAAAGGACAACCGCCCCUUAAAAUUCACACUUUAUUUACAUUUAUAGAACAGCUUUAAGCUCACGAAGUGCUGUCUUCAUAUUCUUCUUGGAUUCUUAGAACAAAAAGGCAGGGUUAGGUUUUUACCAUUGAGCACACUGCCCCAGAGAAGUGAAGUGACGUAUUCAAAGUCAACCAGCUAGCUAGCAACAGUGCCAAGGCCAGAAGUCAGGUCUCCUGAAACUUACCCGGAAGUCCGUUUCCCUGACACCACUGGGA